UACGUAGGGUGCGAGCGUUAAUCGGAAUUACUGGGCGUAAAGCGCGUGUAGGCUGCUUCGCAAGUCGGGUGUGAAAGCCCUGGGCUCAACCUAGGAAGUGCACUCGAAACUGCGAAGCUCGAGUCCUGGAGAGGAAGGCGGAAUUCUCGGUGUAGAGGUGAAAUUCGUAGAUAUCGAGAGGAACACCGGUGGCGAAGGCGGCCUUCUGGACAGUGACUGACGCUGAGACGCGAAAGCGUGGGGGCAAACAGG
rnacentral:rRNA from 1 species